CAGCCGCCGCGGUAAUGCGUAGGUGGCAAGCGUUGUCCGGAAUUAUUGGGCGUAAAGGGCUCGCAGGCGGUUUCUUAAGUCUGAUGUGAAAGCCCCCGGCUCAACCGGGGAGGGUCAUUGGAAACUGGGAAACUUGAGUGCAGAAGAGGAGAGUGGAAUUCCGCGUGUAGCGGUGAAAUGCGUAGAGAUGUGGAGGAACACCAGUGGCGAAGGCGACUCUCUGGUCUGUAACUGACGCUGAGGAGCGAAAGCGUGAGGAGCGAACAGGAUUAGAUACCCCAGUAGUCCCUGUCUCUUAUAC
rnacentral:rRNA from 1 species